CUGUCGAUCCUGCCCACCGCCGACUGUCGACUAAGCAGUCUAGCCCGGGCUGCAGUGCUGCCGAAAUGGGGGGCUUGGCCCCAUGCCACUCGUACUAGUCAAAAUUAGCUCAUUGUUGAAUGUAGUUAGUAGCCAAGUAGGCGCACUGGCGGUGGGCUCCCUGACCGGCUCUCCGUGCAGCUCUGUGCGGAGAGCGGUCUUCUCCUCCUGCCGCGGGGCCGCGUUUAAACUACCGUUAACUCACGGCAAUUUCCAAAGCCCUCGGUCGCUCGCCGUGCAGGUCUGCUUCUCUGAAACUUCGGGUGAAAAGAGGACAACAAAGGCACUGAACUUGUUCUCUCCUUUAAUCCACUGCAGUGCAAGAGCUGUUUGUGCAGACAAUCAUGGUUCCUGCUUCUGAAUCAAACUAACAGCAGCAAUGGUGGAUCCCAUUAGGGUUGACAGCUGGGUCCCUGAGCUGACCAGGAUGAAGGGGAGCUGCCGAGAAAAAUCAACAUUCCUUCCGUCUGAUGUAGGAUAGAAAUGGUCUCUCCAAUAACACUGAACGAGGAAGGGGCGGGGAGAUCCCCAGUAUACAAUUUUUUUUGUUUUCUAAAUCGUGUAUAUCCUCUUUUUUUAUGGUAUGUGGUAAAGAUGAAUUAUGACUCUGGGGAUGACGUCCCCAUCUGUGUGAUUUAAUAUGUUAGAAAUGCUUGGGACUCUAAGCCUUGAUGAUAUGUUAAUGUCCUUUGGAGGAGACGGAGUUAUGCCAAAUGACACAAAGCACCUCGUGACAGACCUGACCGAUCGGAGCUGUAAAGACCCACGCGUCUGCGAUGUUUACGACUUCCACAGGCGGCCCCCCUGGGGCCGAGAAAACUUGCAGCAGCAUGUCAUCCACUUAUCCACUUCCCCACAAAGUAGGAUCCUUUUUUGGUUUGUUUUUUCGUUUAUUUCAGUGUUCGUACCGUUACGUUUGUCUCUGUGGACCCACCAAAGACAUUUGACUUGACGCUCACCCCUACCAGUUUCCUCUUUCAAAUAUUUACGGUAACAUUGCUAUGGGCAAAUAUGUUCAUGAGUCAAAUAAACUUUCUCUUCCAGCACACAACCCAACACCUUCUUUCUGCUGGACCUGGAUUUAAUCAAAUUAGGCGGUCCCUCUGUUCCUGGUUCCCUCCUUCAUUUCAAGUCCCACCCAUGCCUCCACACUACAGCAAUUGAUCUGUCUCCACACACUAAACUGCAGAAACAAAGCCUAUAUUCUCACACUCUACAGUAUUUACUGAGGCUAAGAGUCCCCGAUUUCCAUGCAGUUACUAGAUGCUUUGUAGUACAUAAUUUUAUUUUUUGUUGUUGUUGUUGUUGUUGUUGUUGUUUUUUAACUUUGCUUUGUUUAAAGUUUUUGCUUCUUUUUUUCUUUUUCUUUGCGAGUAUAUUAAAGUGUAAUCAUGUGCGUUGUGAUAUAGAAGUAGCUGUAGAAAAUGCAUCGUUUCCUUGUGGUAAGUGAUUGAGAUGCUGCCACGGAUUUGAGACACUGAUGAAUGGUGCUAUUUUGGUCUUUAAUCUGCUACUUGGUAAGGUAGCCAAGAUGGGUUUUUAUUUCGUAUUUUCGCGUUCAGAGAAGGUGUUGGUUCUUCGUUGUAUGGUUAUCGUAACUUGGUCUGGAUUGACUCUCUCCCCCGCCCCCUGUUGUUUCUGUGUGGCUUUCUCAUUGGAUUUCAAAGGAUGGACGUUAACUAAAGACCACGAGGAACAGUUUUCUUUGAGGAGACGAUCUUUUGCGCAAAAUUAUGAUCGUAAAGACAGCGGGAGCAAUCACAAAACUGCAAUCAAACAAUGUUUUCCCUUUAAGGUUCCGAGUCAGUACGAAGGGGUAGUUAGACUAGGCAUUCUGGCAAUAGCAAACUAGCAAACCAUCUGUGAGCUCUUCCUCCUUGAUGUAGUAGCGUCAAGGAUCCGUCUUGGAAUGUAUCUGCACAAUUUUGCAUUUAAUAACUUAAAUCGAGUACACAGGAAAUCAGAAACGGUAUCUCCGCGUACGUAGAUGUUGUUGCUGUUUUGAAUGUCUUUGCAAAGUUACAGUGGCAGAAAGGCGAUUUCUUUCGAGGCGUCUCUUUUCUCCUGCUUAAGGUGAAAAAUGCCCAUUUACCCAGGGAAACAGCAAUGUCUGUUGUGUCUACCUGAGGGUUAAUCCGCCAGACAGGAUUUGUCUGUUAACCGGAUGGCUUGACUGCCCAACAGCAGUAGAGAGUAAGGGGCAUGACUGGUGGACAGCAUAAACAUUUUUUUGAAGCGUAUCCAUCUAAGAAAUCUUAUUCGGUGGAGUUGCCACCAUUGAUAGGUUCAGGGUUCCCAAUCUGCUGCACACUCUUCACCAGCUGGUAAUUACUGGAUGCUUCUCGGGGUUCCACGUGGCCUUGUGCACGAGACCCUACCACUCGGUACACAAUCCAAUCAUGCUUUUUUCCAAGCUAAAAAAAAAAAACAAACAAAUAAUGUAGCACUGAUAAAUGAUAGUCUAACUGACAUUUUUAACAAGUGAGUUGUGAGUUCUUUUGAGGAUAGAACCAAAAAGCUUUAUAUUUAUUCUUUUGGGUAGUUCAGUAGCAAAGUGCUGUCCUGCAGUAUUUGCAGUUUUGUCUUUGCUUCCAGUUAACAUAUACUUUUGAACAAUCCUAAUUCAACGACCAACUUGAAAGCCCACAUUAGUUUCUUUGUCUUCCAUUUUUUUUCCACUAUAGUGGGGACCUUCCCAGCUUGCUUUAGACCUUCCCUAGUGCUGAUGGCAUAUCAACAGCAUGCUUUCCGCGUUUUGUUUUUCAUCUUGAUACUAAUUCUUUUUGAGUUUCCUCACAUAGAUUAGGUAUGCCAGCUGUCUUGUAAAUAGCGAGUAGCUUAGGCAGGGUCUGAUGUAGUAUGUUGAGAUACUAUGUAAUAACUAUUGGUGUGUUUAAAAAAAAAAAAAAAAAAGUUGGCUUGUGAUUGAUAAUGAUGCACUCUGUAUUGUAUAA